GACGGAGGGUGCAAGCGUUAUCCGGAAUGAUUGGGCGUAAAGCGUCCGCAGGUGGCUGUUCAAGUCUGCUGUCAAAGACCGGGGCUUAACUUCGGAAAGGCAGUGGAAACUGAACAGCUAGAGUAUGGUAGGGGCAGAGGGAAUUCCUGGUGUAGCGGUGAAAUGCGUAGAUAUCAGGAAGAACAUCGGUGGCGAAGGCGCUCUGCUGGACCAUAACUGACACUCAGGGACGAAAGCGUGGGGAGCGAACGGG
rnacentral:rRNA from 1 species